UUGAUGAUGAUUCCGACUAUUUUUGGUGUCAUUUAUGGCAAGGACCUAAUUUCAAGCAUCACCAAGUUUUUGGUGUUAACCAUGGAGACGUAUGGGAAGCUAGGGAAGACGGAAUCUACUUCUCGCAGAUAAAAUAUGCUCGAGAUCUCCGUCAGCAUGUGUUCAUGUAUGGGUGGAAUGUUCCUUUGACCUUGUCAAGAGCUUCCUCGUUGGGAUUGUGUUGUGUCUCUUUAAGCUUAUUACUCUCUUCCUUGGUUUU